GGGCGUAAAGCGCACGCAGGCGGUCUGUCAAGUCGGAUGUGAAAUCCCCGGGCUCAACCUGGGAACUGCAUUCGAAACUGGCAGGCUAGAGUCUUGUAGAGGGGGGUAGAAUUCCAGGUGUAGCGGUGAAAUGCGUAGAGAUCUGGAGGAAUACCGGUGGCGAAGGCGGCCCCCUGGACAAAGACUGACGCUCAGGUGCGAAAGCGUGGGGAGCAAACAGGAUUAGAUACCCUGGUAGUCCACGCCGUAAACGAUGUCGAUUUGGAGGUUGUGCCCUUGAGGCGUGGCUUCCGGAGCUAACGCGUUAAAUCGACCGCCUGGGGAGUACGGCCGCAAGGUUAAAACUCAAAUGAAUUGACGGGGGCCCGCACAAGCGGUGGAGCAUGUGGUUUAAUUCGAUGCAACGCGAAGAACCUUACCUGGUCUUGACAUCCACAGAACUUUCCAGAGAUGGAUUGGUGCCUUCGGGAACUGUGAGACAGGUGCUGCAUGGCUGUCGUCAGCUCGUGUUGUGAAAUGUUGGGUUAAGUCCCGCAACGAGCGCAACCCUUAUCCUUUGUUGCCAGCGGUUCGGCCGGGAACUCAAAGGAGACUGCCAGUGAUAAACUGGAGGAAGGUGGGGAUGACGUCAAGUCAUCAUGGCCCUUACGACCAGGGCUACACACGUGCUACAAUGGCAUAUACAAAGAGAAGCGACCUCGCGAGAGCAAGCGGACCUCAUAAAGUAUGUCGUAGUCCGGAUUGGAGUCUGCAACUCGACUCCAUGAAGUCGGAAUCGCUAGUAAUCGUAGAUCAGAAUGCUACGGUGAAUACGUUCCCGGGCCUUGUACACACCGCCCGUCACACCAUGGGAGUGGGUUGCAAAAGAAGUAGGUAGCUUAACCUUCGGGAGGGCGCUUACCACUUUGUGAUUCAUGACUGGGGUGAAGUCGUAACAAGGUAACCGUAGGGGAACCUGCGGUUGGAUCACCUCCUUACCUUAAAGAA
rnacentral:rRNA from 1 species